rnacentral:rRNA from 1 species
AUUGAACGCUGGCGGCAUGCUUUACACAUGCAAGUCGAACGGUAACAGGCCGCAAGGUGCUGACGAGUGGCGAACGGGUGAGUAAUGCAUCGGAACGUGCCCAGUCGUGGGGGAUAACGCAGCGAAAGCUGCGCUAAUACCGCAUACGAUCUAUGGAUGAAAGCGGGGGACCGUAAGGCCUCGCGCGAUUGGAGCGGCCGAUGUCAGAUUAGGUAGUUGGUGGGGUAAAGGCUCACCAAGCCGACGAUCUGUAGCUGGUCUGAGAGGACGACCAGCCACACUGGGACUGGGACACGGCCCAGACUCCUACGGGAGGCAGCAGUGGGGAAUUUUGGACAAUGGGCGCAAGCCUGAUCCAGCAAUGCCGCGUGCAGGAAGAAGGCCUUCGGGUUGUAAACUGCUUUUGUACGGAACGAAACGGUCCUGGUUAAUACCCGGGGCUAAUGACGGUACCGUAAGAAUAAGCACCGGCUAACUACGUGCCAGCCGCCGCAGUAAUAC